rnacentral:rRNA from 1 species
UACGUAGGGUGCAAGCGUUGUCCGGAAUUAUUGGGCGUAAAGAGCUCGUAGGCGGUUUGUUGCGUCGGCUGUGAAAUCCCGAGGCUCAACCUCGGGUCUGCAGUCGAUACGAGCAAACUAGAGUGUUGCAGGGGAGACUGGAAUUCCUGGUGUAGCGGUGAAAUGCGCAGAUAUCAGGAGGAACACCGGUGGCGAAGGCGGGUCUCUGGGCAACAACUGACGCUGAUGCGCGAAAGCGUGGGGAGCAAACAGG